AGGCUGUAGAGCGUAGAGGAGCAGAAGAUGAUCAGAACAGGUGGAUCCUCGCCUUGGCCCGGUUUGCACGCAGCGCGCAACCCCGGAAGAGGACAAACCUAGAGAGAAAGCCCACCGCGGGGAGGGUCUAGGCAUGCGCAGGAGGUACCAGGCCCGGAGCUGUCAGUUACUGGUCCGCUAGCAGAACACUGUCCUGUGGGAAUCAAAGAAGUGAACAGAAAUGUCAUCACAGGGGAAUUGCAGGCCCAUAUGUCACCUACAGGAAGAGAAGAAAACUUCCAGGAAGAAGCAACUCUUGAAAAGUCAGGUCCAAAGAACGGUCUUGAGCCUCCCCUUCCCAAUACUACUGGCCAGAACACCGUCCCUGUUUUAGGAAAAGCUACAAAGGAGGAAGAAGCCUGUGGAAGUCCAAGAUAUUACAUUUCCUUGGGAAGCAGAAGGAAAAGGUGAACAAACCAGAAAGGUGGACAUCCCAGGUUUUGGAGAGAACCAUGAAGCUUUUGGAGGAGGGGGGCGGAGAAAGAGAAGAACACGGAGCACAGUUCAGAAAGAGACGAUGCAAGAGGAUUUUAGGAUGUGUUCCUGUGGUUAUUA